GACGAACGCUGGCGGCGUGCUUAACACAUGCAAGUGGAGCGACGAACCAGGGCUUGCCCUGGGGCAAAGCCGCGAACGGGUGAGUAACACGUGGGUAACCUGCCCCGAUGAUUGGGACAACCCGAGGAAACUCGGGCUAAUACCAAAUGUGACUCUGGUCGUAAGGACCAGAUGGAAAGGAAGCUUCGGCCUCCGCAUCGGGAUGGGCCCGCGGCCCAUUAGCUUGUUGGUGGGGUAAUGGCCUACCAAGGCGACGAUGGGUAGCUGGUCUGAGAGG
rnacentral:rRNA from 1 species